rnacentral:rRNA from 1 species
AGAGUUUGAUCCUGGCUCAGAACGAACGCUGGCGGCGUGGAUAAGACAUGCAAGUCGCACGGAGAAAAGAUAGUUUACUAGCUUUUCUGAGUGGCGCACGGGUGAGUAACACGUGAGCAACCUGCCUCUUAGUGGGGGAUAGCCCUGGGAAACCGGGAUUAAUACCGCAUAUCAUCGCAAGAUGAAAGCAGCAAUGCGCUAAGAGAGGGGCUCGCGGCCUAUUAGUUAGUUGGUGAGGUAACGGCUCACCAAGGCGAUGACGGGUAGCCGGUCUGAGAGGAUGUCCGGCCACACUGGAACUGAGACACGGUCCAGACACCUACGGGUGGCAGCAGUCGAGAAUCAUUCACAAUGGGGGAAACCCUGAUGGUGCGACGCCGCGUGGGGGAAGAAGGUCUUCGGAUUGUAAACCCCUGUCAUGUGGGAGCAAGCUAGCAAUAGUUGAUAGUACCACAAGAGGAAGAGACGGCUAACUCUGUGCCAGCAGCCGCGGUAAUACAGAGGUCUCAAGCGUUGUUCGGAAUCACUGGGCGUAAAGGGUACGUAGGCUGUACCAUAAGUCGGGCGUGAAA